UACGUAGGGGGGCAAGCGUUGUCCGGAUUUAUUGGGCGUAAAGAGCGUGUAGGCGGCCACGCAGGUCCGUUGUGAAAACUGGAGGCUCAACCUCCAGCUGUCGACGGAAACCGUGUGGCUAGAGUCCGGAAGAGGAGAGUGGAAUUCCUGGUGUAGCGGUGAAAUGCGCAGAUAUCAGGAAGAACACCAAUGGCGAAGGCAGCUCUCUGGGCCGAUACUGACGCUGAGGAGCGAAAGCGUGGGGAGCGAACAGG
rnacentral:rRNA from 1 species